rnacentral:rRNA from 1 species
GAUGAACGCUGGCGGCGUGCCUAAUACAUGCAAGUCGAGCGAACGGACGAGAAGCUUGCUUCUCUGAUGUUAGCGGCGGACGGGUGAGUAACACGUGGAUAACCUACCUAUAAGACUGGGAUAACUUCGGGAAACCGGAGCUAAUACCGGAUAAUAUUUUGAACCGCAUGGUUCAAAAGUGAAAGACGGUCUUGCUGUCACUUAUAGAUGGAUCCGCGCUGCAUUAGCUAGUUGGUAAGGUAACGGCUUACCAAGGCAACGAUGCAUAGCCGACCUGUGAGGGUGAUCGGCCACACUGGAACUGAGACACGGUCCAGACUCCUACGGGAGGCAGCAGUAGGGAAUAUUCCGCAAUGGGCGAAAGCCUGACGGAGCAACGCCGCGUGAGUGAUGAAGGUCUUCGGAUCGUAAAACUCUGUUAUUAGGGAAGAACAUAUGUGUAAGUAACUGUGCACAUCUUGACGGUACCUAAUCAGAAAGCCACGGCUAACUACGUG